rnacentral:rRNA from 1 species
UACGUAGGGGGCGAGCGUUGUCCGGAUUUACUGGGCGUAAAGCGCACGCAGGCGGUCUGUUAAGUUUGGAGUGACAGUUGGUGGCUCAACCACCAAAGUGCUUUGAAAACUGAUAGACUUGAGGGCUUCAGAGGGACACGGAAUUCCGGGUGGAGUGGUGAAAUGCGUAGAGAUCAGCAGGAACACCCGUGGCGAAGGCGGCCCCCUGGGCCGUACCUGACGCUGAGGCGCGAAGGCUAGGGGAGCGAACGGG